rnacentral:tRNA from 1 species
GCCGCGGUGGUGGAAUUGGUAUACACGUACGCUUCAGAAGCGUAUGGAUGCAAAUCCUUGAGAGUUCGAAUCUCUCCCGCGGCACCA